rnacentral:rRNA from 1 species
UACAGAGGUCUCAAGCGUUGUUCGGAUUCAUUGGGCGUAAAGGGUGCGUAGGUGGCGCGCUAAGUCAGGUGUGAAAUUUCGGAGCUUAACUCCGAAACUGCAUUUGAUACUGGUGUGCUUGAGGACUGGAGAGGAGACUGGAAUUCAUGGUGUAGCAGUGAAAUGCGUAGAGAUCAUGAGGAAGACCAGUGGCGAAGGCGGGUCUCUGGACAGUUCCUGACACUGAGGCACGAAAGCUAGGGGAGCAAACAGG